rfam:TPA: Bos taurus chromosome 17, whole genome shotgun sequence.
UCCCUGGUGGCUCAGCUGGUGAAGAGUCCGCCUGCAAUGCAGGAGACCCUGGUUCAAUUCCUGGGUCAGGGAG